rnacentral:rRNA from 1 species
UACAGAGGUCUCAAGCGUUGUUCGGAAUCACUGGGCGUAAAGGGUGCGCAGGCCGCGCGGGCAGUCAAAUGUGUAAUUCAGGGGCUCAACCCCUGCACUGCGCUUGAUACUUCCGCGCUAGAACUUUGGAGAGGAGUCUGGAAUUCUCGGUGUAGCAGUGAAAUGCGUGGAUAUCGAGAAGAACACUAACGGCGUAAGCAAGACUCUGGACAAAUGUUGACGCUCAAGCACGAAGGCUAGGGUAGCGAACGGG